rnacentral:rRNA from 1 species
UUUAUUGAGAAUUUGAUCUUGGUUCAGAUUGAAUGCUGACGGCGUGGAUGAGGCAUGCAAGUCGCACGAAGUAAGAACUCGUUCUUACUUAGUGGCGGAAGGGUUAGUAAUACAUGCGCAACUUGCCUCUUAC